CAUUCUCCUUUUCGCUCACUCAAACACGUGUGCAGAUGCAGAGAAGAGGAAGAGAUUUGCCAUUUCCACCCAUUUCUAGCACUGUUUGUUGCAGGAAUGGUAUGACCAACAACUUUUGAACAAUUUAAUAUUUAUUGUCUCUUAUUGCCUCUUUAUGCAUACUUGAAUUUUUGCAUUGAACUUUCUUUUUUUAAGACUGCCAAGCUGUCCUCAAUUGGGGAACCUCUGACUGGGACAAUGUCCUCAGGAUUAUGGAGCGUAAGUGUCAUGAAAAGUGAAACGCUCAGUAAGUUGAUGUGUUGCGGGCCCUCUGGAAAUUCACGAAAUGUUCCCGAGUCAUGUUGGAGAAGGACGCAAAAACUGACCCGUCACACAACUCUUCGAGGGCCACUACGCUCUAGAUCGCCUUCUGUGCUCAGAGGUCCUUGAUGAGGAUCUACCCC